GAUGAACGCUAGCGGCAGGCUUAACACAUGCAAGUCGAGGGGUAUAGUUCUUCGGAGCUAGAGACCGGCGCACGGGUGCGUAACGCGUAUGCAAUCUACCUUUUGCAGAGGGAUAGCCCAGAGAAAUUUGGAUUAAUACCUCAUAGUAUGUGAGAAUGGCAUCAUUUUCACAUUAAAGUCACAACGGCAAAAGAUGAGCAUGCGUCCCAUUAGCUUGUUGGUAAGGUAACGGCUUACCAAGGCAACGAUGGGUAGGGGUCCUGAGAGGGAGAUCCCCCACACUGGUCCUAAGACACGGACCAGACUCCUCCGGGAGGCAGCAGUGAGGAAUAUUGGACAAUGGGCGCAAGCCUGAUCCAGCCAUGCCCCGUGCAGGAUGGCGGUCCUAUGGAUUGUAAACUGCUUUUGUACAGGAAGAAACACUGGUUCGUGAACCAGCUUGACGGUACUGUAAGAAUAAGGAUCGGCUAACUCCGUGCCAGCAGCCGCCGUAAGAC
rnacentral:rRNA from 1 species